rnacentral:rRNA from 1 species
CCUACGGGGGGCAGCAGUGGGGAAUAUUGCGCCAUGGGCGAAAGCCUGACGCAGCGACGCCGCGUGAGGGAUGAAGGUCUUCGGAUCUUAAACCUCUGUCAGCAGGGAAGAACGGUCACUUUGCUAAUCAGCAGUGAAUUGACGGUACCUGCAAAGGAAGCACCGGCUAACUCCGUGCCAGCAGCCGCGGUCAGACGGAGGGUGCGAGCGUUUAUCGUAUUUAAUGGGCGUAACGCGCUCGUAGGCGGUAUGUCAAGUCAAGGGUGAAAUCCCCGCGCUCAACGUGGGAACUGCCUUUGAUACUGGCAAACUGGAGUGUGUGAGAGGAUAGUGGAAUUCAAGGUGUAGGAGUGAAAUCCGUAGAUAUCUGGAGGAACAUCAGUGGCGAAGGCGACUAUCUGGCACAUAACUGACGCUGAGGAGCGAAAGCGUGGGUAGCAAACAGGAUUAGAUACCCGGGUAGUC